rnacentral:rRNA from 1 species
UACAGAGGUCUCAAGCGUUGUUCGGAUUCAUUGGGCGUAAAGGGUGCGUAGGCGGCGCGGUAAGUCGGGUGUGAAAUCUCGGGGCUUAACUCCGAAACUGCAUUCGAUACUGCCGUGCUUGAGGACUGGAGAGGAGACUGGAAUUUACGGUGUAGCAGUGAAAUGCGUAGAUAUCAGGAGGAAUACCGGUGGCGAAAGCGACUCUCUGGACGGCAACUGACGCUGAGGCACGAAAGCGUGGGGAGCAAACAGG